rnacentral:rRNA from 1 species
CGAGAAGCUUGCUUCUCUGAUGUUAGUGGCGGACGGGUGAGUAACACGUGGAUAACCUACCUAUAAGACUGGGAUAACUUCGGGAAACCGGAGCUAAUACCGGAUAAUAUUUUGAACCGCAUGGUUCAAAAGUAAAAGACGGUCUUGCUGUCACUUAUAGAUGGAUCCGCGCUGCAUUAGCUAGUUGGUAAGGUAACGGCUUACCAAGGCAACGAUGCAUAGCCGACCUGAUAGGGUGAUCGGCCACACUGGAACUGAGACACGGUCCAGACUCCUACGGGAGGCAGCAGUAGGGAAUCUUCCGCAAUGGGCGAAAGCCUGACGGAGCAACGCCGCGUGAGUGAUGAAGGUCUUCGGAUCGUAAAACUCUGUUAUUAGGGAAGAACAUAUGUGUAAGUAACUGUGCACAUCUUGACG